GGGGAACCCCCCCCCCUUCUGCGGCGAGGGAGGUUUGGGCGCCAGAACCCCACCGGGGGUCACGGCGAAUCUAGGCCAGCAGCCGCGGUAAUUCCAGCUCCAAUAGCGUAUAUUAAAGUUGUUGCAGUUAAAAAGCUCGUAGUUGAACCUUGGGCUUGGCUGUCCGGUCCGCCUCACCGCGUGCACUGGUGCGGCCGAGCCUUUCCUUCUGGGGAGCCGCAUGCCCUUUACUGGGUGUGUCGGGGAACCAGGACUUUUACUUUGAAAAAAUUAGAGUGUUCAAAGCAGGCCUAUGCUCGAAUACAUUAGCAUGGAAUAAUAGAAUAGGACGUGUGGUUCUAUUUUGUUGGUUUCUAGGACCGCCGUAAUGAUUAAUAGGGAUAGUCGGGGGCAUCAGUAUUCAAUUGUCAGAGGUGAAAUUCUUGGAUUUAUUGAAGACUAACUACUGCGAAAGCAUUUGCCAAGGAUGUUUUCAUUAAUCAGUGAACGAAAGUUAGGGGAUCGAAGACGAUCAGAUACCGUCGUAGUCUUAACCAUAAACUAUGCCGACUAGGGAUCGGGCGAUGUUAUCAUUUUGACUCGCUCGGCACCUUACGAGAAAUCAAAGUCU
rnacentral:rRNA from 1 species